rnacentral:ncRNA from 1 species
CAGCUCCGAAUACGGGUGGAGAAAUCGAAAGACCUCCAUCGCUCUCUGUUGGCGUGGUUAGCCCUACGUUCGGAGCACUU